AAUUCUCAACUCUUGUAGAUCGACAAAUCAAAAUAGCUCCACAAAAUCCCUGUAAUACCCUCUAUAUAUUCAGAACGAAAAAUUAGGGGGAAAAACCUCUAAAAAAUUCAGAACAAUAAAUUCUGAAUUUCUGCUAUAGCUACCUUUUCCAAGUAUAUAGGUUGAAAAGACGGCAAUAAAUGCAUAACCAAGAAAAAAAACCUAAAAGAAAAUUAAGUGUAACGGAAAAGUGGAAUAUAUGGAGAAGAGGAAGGGUAUUUCCGGGAAUAAAAAAUUACUGGCGCCGUAAGGAAAAUAUUAUCACCGGAUAAUGCGACGGCGAUGAUAGAGGAGAAAAGAAUAGAGAGAGAGAGAGAGA
rnacentral:lncRNA from 1 species